rnacentral:rRNA from 1 species
AUUGAACGCUGGCGGCGUGCCUAAUACAUGCAAGUCGAACGCAGUGGGGACGGGUGAGUAACACGUGGGUAACCUACCAUCAGAGGGGAUAACACUUGGAAACAGGUGCUAAACCGAUACUGAUGGAUGGACCCGCGGUGCAUUAGCUAGUUGGGGAGGUAACGGCUCACCAAGGCCACGAUGCAGAGCCGGCCUGAGAGGAUGAUCGGCCACACUGGGACUGAGACACGGCCCAGACUCCUACGGGAGGCAGCAGUAGGGAAGCUGCGGCAAUGGACGAAAGUCUGAUCGAGCAAUGCCGCGUGAGUGAAGAAGGUCUUCGGAUCGUAAAUUUCUUUUGUGAGAGAAGCGGUAUCUAACCAGAAAGCCACGGCUAACUCCGUGCCAGCAGCCGCGGUAAUAC